UACAGAGGGUGCAAGCGUUAAUCGGAAUUACUGGGCGUAAAGCGCGCGUAGGUGGUUCGUUAAGUUGGAUGUGAAAUCCCCAGGCUCAACUUGGGAACUGCGUCUGAUACUGGAUGGCUUGAAUCCGGGAGAGGGAUGCAGAAUUCCAGGUGUAGCGGUGAAAUGCGUAGAUAUCUGGAGGAAUACCGGUGGCGAAGGCGGCAUCCUGGACCGGGAUUGACACUGAGGAGCGAAAGCUAGGGGAGCAAACGGGG
rnacentral:rRNA from 1 species